CCUACGGGCGGUAGCAGUGGGGAAUAUUGGACAAUGGGCGAAAGCCUGAUCCAGCCAUGCCGCGUGUGUGAAGAAGGCCUUCGGGUUGUAAAGCACUUUCAGUGGGGAAGAAAGCCUUGGGGCUAAUACCCUCGAGGAAGGACAUCACCCACAGAAGAAGCACCGGCUAACUCCGUGCCAGCAGCCGCGGUAAUACGGAGGGUGCGAGCGUUAAUCGGAAUUACUGGGCGUAAAGCGCGCGUAGGCGGUCUGAUAAGCCGGUUGUGAAAGCCCCGGGCUCAACCUGGGAACGGCAUCCGGAACUGUCAGGCUAGAGUGCAGGAGAGGAAGGUAGAAUUCCCGGUGUAGCAGUGAAAUGCGUAGAGAUCGGGAGGAAUACCAGUGGCGAAGGCGGCCUUCUGGACUGACACUGACGCUGAGGUGCGAAAGCGUGGGUAGCAAACAGGAUUAGAUACCCGUGUAGUC
rnacentral:rRNA from 1 species